AUUGAACGCUGGCGGCAGGCCUAACACAUGCAAGUCGAACGAGUGGCGGACGGGUGAGUAAUGUCUGGGAAACUGCCUGAUGGAGGGGGAUAACUACUGGAAACGGUAGCUAAUACCGCAUACCAUCAGAUGUGCCCAGAUGGGAUUAGCUUGUUGGUGGGGUAAUGGCGCACCACGGCGACGAUCCCUAGCUGGUCUGAGAGGAUGACCAGCCAAACUGGAACUGAGACACGGUCCAGACGCCGACGGGAGGCAGCAGUGGGGAAUAUUGCACAAUGGGCGCAAGCCUGAUGCAGCCAUGCCGCGUGUAUGAAGAAGGCCUUCGGGUUGUAAAGUACUUUCAGCUGGGAGGCGUUACCCGCAGAAUAAGCACCGGCUAACUUCGUGCCAGCAGCCGCGGUAAUUC
rnacentral:rRNA from 1 species